rnacentral:rRNA from 1 species
GACGAACGCUGGCGGCGUGCUUAACACAUGCAAGUCGAACGAUGAACCACUUCGGUGGGGAUUAGUGGCGAACGGGUGAGUAACACGUGGGCAAUCUGCCCUUCACUCUGGGACAAGCCCUGGAAACGGGGUCUAAUACCGGAUAACACUGCCAUGGGCAUCUGUGGUGGUUAAAAGCUCCGGCGGUGAAGGAUGAGCCCGCGGCCUAUCAGCUUGUUGGUGAGGUAAUGGCNCACCAAGGCGACGACGGGUAGCCGGCCUGAGAGGGCGACCGGCCACACUGGGACUGAGACACGGCCCAGACUCCUACGGGAGGCAGCAGUGGGGAAUAUUGCACAAUGGGCGAAAGCCUGAUGCAGCGACGCCGCGUGAGGGAUGACGGCCU